CGCCUGCAUGAAGUUGGAAUCGCUAGUAAUCGCGAAUCAGAAUGUCGCGGUGAAUACGUUCCCGGGUCUUGUACACACCGCCCGUCACACCAUGGGAGUCGGAAAUGCCCGAAGUCAGUGACCCAACCGUAAGGAGGGAGCUGCCGAAGGUGGAGCCGGUAACUGGGGUGAAGUCGUAACAAGGUACC
rnacentral:rRNA from 1 species